UAGGGAAUCUUCCACAAUGGACGCAAGUCUGAUGGAGCAACGCCGCGUGAGUGAAGAAGGUUUUCGGAUCGUAAAGCUCUGUUGUUGGUGAAGAAGGAUAGAGGCAGUAACUGGUCUUUAUUUGACGGUAAUCAACCAGAAAGUCACGGCUAACUACGUGCCAGCAGCCGCGGUAAUACGUAGGUGGCAAGCGUUGUCCGGAUUUAUUGGGCGUAAAGCGAGCGCAGGCGGAAUGAUAAGUCUGAUGUGAAAGCCCACGGCUCAACCGUGGAACUGCAUCGGUAACUGUCAUUCUUGAGUGCAGAAGAGGAGAGUGGAAUUCCAUGUCUAGCGGUGGAAUGCGUAGAUAUAUGGAAGAACACCAGUGGCGAAGGCGGCUCUCUGGACUGCAACUGACGCUGAGGCUCGAAAGCAUGGGUAGCGAACAGG
rnacentral:rRNA from 1 species